UUGAACGCUGGCGGCAUGCCUUACACAUGCAAGUCGAACGGUAACGCGGGGCAACCUGGCGACGAGUGGCGAACGGGUGAGUAAUGCAUCGGAACGUGCCCAGUAGUGGGGGAUAGCCCGGCGAAAGCCGGAUUAAUACCGCAUACGACCUACGGGUGAAAGCGGGGGACUCGCAAGAGCCUCGCGCUAUUGGAGCGGCCGAUGUCAGAUUAGGUAGUUGGUGGGGUAAAGGCCUACCAAGCCGACGAUCUGUAGCUGGUCUGAGAGGACGACCAGCCACACUGGGACUGAGACACGGUCCAGACUCCUACGGGAGGCAGCAGUGGGGAAUUUUGGACAAUGGGGGAAACCCUGAUCCAGCCAUUCCGCGUGAGUGAAGAAGGCCUUCGGGUUGUAAAGCUCUUUCAGCAGGAACGAAACGGUCGGCUUUAAUAAAGUCGGCUAAUGACGGUACCUGCAGAAGAAGCACCGGCUAACUACGU
rnacentral:rRNA from 1 species